GCAUGUAACUUUGCAGGUGGAAGAGAAGGCUGUUCACCUGCAGUACAUAGUAGACUGUUUCCCUGGAAGUCAAUUUUUUUGGGAAACAGAUCCUGAAUGAUGAGAUGCCACCUCAGCUGUAGAAUGCAAUGAACUUGCCACCUGACAAAGCCAGGCUACUGCGGCAAUAUGACAAUGAGAAGAAAUGGGAGCUGAUCUGCGAUCAGGAAAGGUUUCAAGUGAAGAAUCCGCCACAUACAUACAUCCAGAAACUGAAGGGCUAUCUUGAUCCAGCUGUCACCAGGAAGAAAUUCAGAAGACGAGUCCAAGAAUCUACACAAGUACUGCGAGAACUGGAAAUUUCUUUAAGAACAAAUCAUAUUGGAUGGGUCAGAGAGUUUUUGAAUGAAGAGAACAAAGGGCUGGAUGUUCUGGUGGAAUAUUUGUCAUUCGCACAGUACGCUGUCACUUUUGACUUUGAAAGCUUGGAGAACAAUGUAGAAAACUCAAUGGAUAAAUCCAAACCUUGGAGUCGUUCCAUUGAAGACCUGCACAGAGGAAGUAACUUACCUUCUCCAGUUGGCAAUAGCAUUUCCCGGUCUGGCAGGCAUUCUACUCUACGGUAUAAUACCUUGCCUAGCAGAAGAACACUAAAAAAUUCAAGAUUAGUGAGUAAAAAAGACGAUGUUCAUGUCUGCAUCAUGUGUUUACGUGCCAUUAUGAAUUACCAGUAUGGAUUUAAUAUGGUCAUGUCACAUCCACACGCUGUUAAUGAAAUUGCCCUGAGUCUGAACAACAAGAAUCCCAGAACAAAAGCCCUCGUCUUAGAACUGUUAGCAGCUGUUUGUCUUGUCAGAGGAGGCCAUGAAAUCAUUUUAUCUGCCUUUGAUAACUUUAAGGAGGUUUGUGGGGAGAAACAGCGCUUUGAGAAGCUGAUGGAACAUUUCCGAAAUGAAGACAACAAUAUAGACUUCAUGGUGGCAUGUAUGCAGUUCAUCAACAUUGUUGUCCACUCAGUAGAGGACAUGAAUUUCAGAGUUCAUCUCCAGUAUGAAUUUACCAAAUUAGGCCUGGAUGAAUAUUUGGACAAGCUGAAACACACAGAGAGUGACAAACUACAGGUGCAGAUUCAAGCUUACUUGGACAAUGUGUUUGAUGUUGGAGCUUUGCUUGAAGAUGCUGAAACCAAGAAUGCAGCUUUGGAAAGGGUUGAAGAACUGGAAGAAAAUAUUUCUCAUUUAUCGGAAAAACUACAAGACACAGAGAAUGAAGCUAUGGCAAAGAUUGUGGAACUGGAAAAACAGCUUAUGCAGAGAAACAAAGAACUGGACGUAGUUCGAGAAAUUUACAAAGAUGCAAAUACUCAGGUUCAUACUUUGAGAAAAAUGGUCAAAGAAAAGGAAGAAGCCAUCCAGCGGCAGUCAACCCUGGAGAAAAAAAUCCAUGAACUGGAGAAGCAAGGGACCAUUAAAAUUCAGAAGAAAGGUGAUGGUGACAUCUCUAUUCUUCCUGUUGCGGUGGCUUCUGGAACAUUACCACCAGGGUCAGAAGCUACAGCUGGCACUUGCAUGGGACCAGUUACUGGGGCUACAUCCUCAGUACCAUUGCCACCACCUCCACCACCGUUACCAUCAGCAUCUGAUGCAGUACAAAAUGGUCCUGUGACAGCACCUAUGCCACCUCCUCCUCCCCCACCACCUCCACCCCCACCUCCACCUCCACCUCCACCGCCUCCUCUUCCUGGUCCAGCAGCAGAAACAGUGCCAGCUCCUCCGCUUCCACCCCCACCUCCACCAUCGGCACCUCCUCUGCCAGGAACAGCUUCCCCCACGGUGGUUUUCAACUCAGGAUUAGCAGACGGGCCAAUCAAGCUUUUCUCUGUGAAGAUCAAGAAGCCAAUCAAGACGAAGUUCCGCAUGCCAGUCUUUAAUUGGGUAGCUCUUAAACCCAAUCAGAUUAAUGGGACAGUCUUCAAUGAAAUUGAUGAUGAAAGGAUCCUGGAGGAUUUAAAUGUGGAUGAAUUUGAAGAAAUAUUUAAGACAAAAGCACAAGGGCCAGCUAUUGAUCUUUCGUCAAGCAAGCAAAAGAUCACUCAAAAAGGGUCAAACAAGGUCACGUUAUUGGAUGCAAAUAGGGCUAAAAAUCUUGCCAUCACUUUAAGAAAAGCUGGAAAGACAGCAGAUGAAAUAUGCAAAGCUAUUCAUGUAUUUGACUUGAAGACGUUGCCAGUUGAUUUUGUUGAAUGCUUGAUGCGAUUCUUACCCACUGAGAACGAAGUGAAAGUGUUACGGCUCUAUGAGCGGGAAAGGAAACCUAUUGAGAAUCUGUCUGAUGAAGAUCGGUUUAUGAUGCAGUUCAGUAAGAUAGAGCGGCUAAUGCAGAAGAUGACUAUCAUGGCCUUCAUAGGCAACUUUGCAGAAAGUAUCCAGAUGCUGACACCACAACUACAUGCAAUAAUAGCUGCAUCUGUCUCAAUAAAGUCGUCCCAAAAGCUCAAAAAAAUACUGGAGAUAAUCUUGGCCCUUGGUAACUACAUGAACAGCAGUAAAAGAGGAGCAGUUUAUGGAUUUAAACUACAGAGUUUAGAUUUGCUAUUAGAAACAAAGUCAACAGACAGAAAACAAACAUUGUUGCACUAUAUAUCCAAUGUUGUGAAAGAGAAGUAUCAACAUGUAUCCCUCUUUUACAAUGAACUUCAUUAUGUGGAGAAAGCAGCUGCAGUGUCACUUGAAAAUGUCCUGCUGGAUGUAAAGGAACUCCAGAGAGGCCUGGAACUGACCAAGCGAGAAUACACUAUGCAUGACCACAAUACUAUGCUGAAGGAAUUUAUUCAAAACAAUGAAGGAAAACUAAAGAAACUGCAAGAUGAUGCAAAAAUAGCACAGGAUGCCUUUGAUGAUGCUGUGAAAUAUUUUGGGGAAAAUCCCAAGACAACCCCCCCAUCAGUCUUCUUUCCAGUCUUUGUCCGAUUUGUAAAAGCCUACAAGCAAGCAGAAGAGGAGAAUGAGCUGAGAAAAAAGCAAGAACAGGCUUUAAUGGAAAAACUUCUGGAGCAAGAAGCAUUGAUGGAGCAACAGGACCAAAAGUCUCCUUCCCAUAAAACAAAGAGACAGCAGCAAGAGCUAAUUGCAGAGCUAAGACGACGGCAAGUCAAGGAUAAUAGGCAUGUGUAUGAGGGGAAAGAUGGUGCCAUUGAAGAUAUUAUAACAGCCCUAAAGAAGAAUAAUAUCACUAAAUUUCCAAAUGUUCACUCGAGGGGCCUGCAAACACCAGUGUUACUAAAACUUAGGGGCAUGGUAACCCACUUGUGUGGCUUCAGCAAAUAUGGGGAAAAAGAAGUGGGUUACAGGUUUGAAGUUCUUCUGAGUUGGGUAUUUCUCUCUCCCCCCAAUUACUUCUCUCUUCAUCGGUAUAGUGGAUUUCUAAACUUCUCCCAUCAUUACUGUUUGGGGAGGGGAGAAACACCAUCUCCUCUGUGACAGAGCCCUUCUUGAACUGUCAGCAAAGAAGAGGGCACUACCUCAGCACCCCGAUCAGCCAGUGUAUAACUUGGAAAAAAGAGAUCUAGAUGGAAGAUAGGUGACAGGUGCUUCAUUGCAUUUUCUAAGCUGUGGAAGAAGACAGAGCCAUUAAGUGGAUUGUUUAACAUUUUUGAGGUAUGGUGCCCUCCUUUUUCUCCUCUUCCAUGGAGGGCAGUUUGGCCAAGUUUUUUCUAAGACAAUUGAGUCCUGUCUCCACGAAUGUCUCAACUAUUUGCUGGUCCUUCACUCCAUUUGAUGUCCAGCCUGUUCUGCUCCUCUACAAUCCCAGGCCAGCUACAUGGUCAUCUAAUAGAAGAUGGACUAGAAGCUGCACAGAUGAGUAUGUAGGCAGAAGUGGAAUAUGACAACUUCUCCCUCUGCUGUAUAAAGUUGGGAUAUACAGGACCUGCCCUUAAAUAGGCUCUUUGAGCCAUUUUUUUGGGUGCAAAUUCAGAUUUGGAGAAGGCUUCAGGUACCCCAGACCAACUGAAAUUUAUUUGCUGGCAGAAGAAACCAGCCUGUCAGGAUUUACAGAGUAUGCUCAGUACAUCUAUUUAUCUUAGAAACCAGCCCUACCGACGAGCCGAUGCGGUGAGGAGAAGUGUUCGACGACGCUUUGAUGAUCAGAACUUACGCUCUGUAAAUGGUGCUGAAAUAACCAUGUGAGCUGGAGACCUGCAUGUGUAAAGUAGAGGGUGUGCUUGAAUGAUACUUGUCCACGGGAACUCUAUGUGCUACCAUUUAAUUACAACCUGGAACACAGUCAAAAUUACCUUUUAAAGGGCUCAGACAUAGAAAAUGCAUAGGAACGUAAAAGCGAUGGGCUCUCCACUCAACCAUAGCUAACAAGUGCCUAAAAUUGAAGUACCUGCUCAAAUUAAUCAAAGCAAUAGGACUUGAUUUGAUUGGGUAUCUUUGUACACCAAUACAUUAUUCAGUAUUUUUAACCAAAAUGUAAAAUACAUGUUGUAUUCUCUCUCUCUCUUUUGUUGUUAUUGUUGUUACAUGCAAUGUAGUGGUUGGUCUUCAAUAGCCCUAUUUGGUUUCCUGACAGGCUGUAAAUAAGUAAUACUUGGAUGCCAUCUGCUGUGGACUCAAGCUUUUAAAUGCAUUCCUGUGCUGUCUGCUAAGGAAUUAACCUUAAGCUUCAGCUGCACUUACUAGCUUUUAUAUAUAAAGGCUUACAGUGUGUAAGAAGGAAACAGUUACAAACAUAACUGUAGCUUUUUUAUCGUACAGAGAUUCUGCAUCAGUGUAAAUAGGAUGUGAGAACCUGUCAUUCGGUGAACAUGUGGUUUAUAUCAAAUGAACACCUAUUCUUUUUAUAUGCCAGUGUGCAAUGUGGGAUGCAUCAUGAGGGAGGGAGACUUAGAAAAUAUGAAUGCAUUGCAAAGUUACAUGAAAUGAGAAUGUUGUAUAAGAUUUAUUCACUAUGGUCUUCAGAUAGAGGCAGCUUUGGAAUAAGUGUAUUUAUUAAUUAGCACUAAGAUAUUAACAUCUCAAUAAUCAGUAUUAGGAUUUCUGAGGACCAUUGCUGUUCAGUUAUUAGCACAGUGAAAUAAUCUUGUGCCCACUAGAGAGGAUUUUAAUAUUCCAUCUAUAAGCCUAGUCUGCAUCAUUUGGCGAAAACAGUAACCCCCUCACUAGGUUUUUCCUUGACAAUCGAAUUCAGAUCACACAAUGUAAAGGCACAUGCAUUCAAAUAUAGUCAGCUUCCAACUUCUGAGUAGCUGCAGAUAUGUUGGUUACACUCUAAACUUUAAAAUGGAGCUCUAUGCAUGAAGCGUGGCACCAUUACUAGGUACCCUACUGGUUCAGAUCACUCUAGGGCUGUAAUGGAAUUUUAUCUGAUCCUAUCGUGGUAGGGCACAAGACCUACUCCAAAGUCGAGAACUGGACUAAAGGUAAACUUGUACUUUCAGAGGAGACGCAUUUUGCUUAUAGCUUAUCUUUCCUGGAAGCAUUGCAACACUAUGUUAAUUGUAAAAUUUACUGUAUAGUAUUUAACCACUGAGUUUCUUUUCUUUUAUGUUGUGCUUUAUGUGAACCACUGGUGAAGGUCCCCUUUUCCUUGGAUAAUGUGUAGUUAUAUGAUAAUCUGUUUUUAAAUGUACAGAUAUUUUGCUACAAAAUUGGUGCAGUUUUUUAUGGUUUUUACACUUCUCUAAUUCCCACUUUAGCCUCUGGGUAAUACUGUAAAUAUUGUUUAAAAAUGCAUUGGCCUGUGCUAUACAAUCUGAAUGUUAUUUUAACUUAUAGUUUUGUUUUGUUUUUAUAUUUAACUAAAUGAACAGUUUGGGGCUCAGAGUUACCACAUUGACUUCCGCUUACCUAGUUACCAAACUUUUACAUUAAAACUGCCACCUGUUCUCACUUACAGCUAUGUGUACUUGACAUGCUAAAGAGAACAUGCCAAGAUUGCCUCUUUCUUCACUGACAGUGACAGAAGUUUUCAAAUCUGUACAAGAAACAAUCAAUUUGGCAAAGUGAUUCAAGAAGUUAUUAGUCAAAUGGUCAAAAGCAUUUUCUCAAAAUGUAAGUUUGAAAGGAUCUUGUAACUUAACUCUUGACAGCAAAUAAUGUUACCAGACAGAAGGACUGUAAUGCUGGCAUGUUCUCUUUAAUGUUUUUCUAGUAAUAGAUCUGCUUCCUAGCAAUAUUAGAAGUGUUUUAUAAAAGCAGUUCAUGUUACUUUUCUGGUCUGUUCCUGGCAUAUGAUCAAAUAAACUAUUUACACUACUA